UACGUAGGGGGCAAGCGUUGUCCGGAUUUAUUGGGCGUAAAGAGCGUGUAGGCGGCCAGGUAGGUCUGCUGUGAAAACUCGAGGCUUAACCUCGAGAUGUCGGCGGAAACCAUCUGGCUAGAGUCCGGAAGAGGAGAAUGGAAUUCCCGGUGUAGCGGUGAAAUGCGCAGAUAUCAGGAAGAACACCCGUGGCUAAGGCGGCUCUCUAGUACGGUACUGACGCUGAGACGCGAAAGCGUGGGGAGCGAACAGG
rnacentral:rRNA from 1 species